rnacentral:rRNA from 1 species
GACGAACGCUGGCGGCGUGCUUAACACAUGCAAGUCGAACGGAAAGGCCCUGCUUUUGUGUGGUGCUCGAGUGGCGAACGGGUGAGUAACACGUGAGUAACCUGCCCUUGACUUUGGGAUAACUUCAGGAAACUGGGGCUAAUACCGGAUAGGAGCUCCUGCUGCAUGGUGGGGGUUGGAAAGUUUCGGCGGUUGGGGAUGGACUCGCGGCUUAUCAGCUUGUUGGUGGGGUAGUGGCUUACCAAGGCUUUGACGGGUAGCCGGCCUGAGAGGGUGACCGGCCACAUUGGGACUGAGAUACGGACCAGACUCCUACGGGAGGCAGCAGUGGGGAAUAUUGCACAGUGGGCGGAAGCCUGAUGCAGCAACGCCGCGUGCGGGAUGACGGCCUUCGGGUUGUAAACCGCUUUCGCCUGUGACGAAGCGUGAGUGACGGUAAUGGGUAAAGAAGCACCGGCUAACUACGUG